CGAUGCAGCCCACGGUGCCCAGCUGAGGAGCCGCUGCCCUCCCUACAUCUCCCAUUAGGCUCCUUGAUGAACGGAGCAGCUGACUGGCCUGGGCUGAGGACAGGAGCACGUUGCCCCUGCAAAAAUGGUCGUGAAAGUUAACUCUUCCCCUUCCGCCUCAUUCCAGACUUCCGUGAACGGACCUGCUUUACCCAGCUCCUUGAAAUAGCACAACCGUGCACAAAUGUCAGCCUGGGCAACUCUGCUCCGCCGUGCGAGUGCUAUAUAAAGACUUGAUGUGCAUCCCGGGACGCGAGCCAAUUCCAUGGGAAUGUUUCUGCUCACUGAAAUAGGAUCAAGCCCUGGAAAAACUCAGCAGCUUCUCUCCACAAAGCGAAGGAACUGUUUUUGAAAUAGGGUCGGUGGGAUGCAUCAUUUAGACCUAAAUAAACCAGAGAUUUUCAUUUCUGAUUUUGCAUAGCUAGAUGAGCUCUCUUCAAAGCAUAUUUCAGUUUGGGGAAAAUUUGUUCUCUGUGGCUUUUCUAAAGACUUUCUGUGCUCUUCUGUUGACCAUCCUGCUUUUGUGUAUGGAUUUAGUAUGGUGUUGAAUUUAGUACAUUAUUGAAUUGUUCUGAACAUGUUUUAGUCCCAAGUGAACAUGUAGUAAUAACAGAAGAUCAGAGCCAAGAAAAACACGAAAUUCUGUACAUGUCAGGAGGCAGAAAACACUCACCUUGCUGUGCUUUAAGGAGAAGAAGAAAUUCUCCACGCUUGCACAGCAGCAGUGUGAUCCUAAAUCUGGAUCAGGUCGGCAAUACAAUAUAUCAUAAGUUUCGCUUUGUUAGUUCAUGCAAUCUAGAAUAUAAAAGAAAUUCUGUGAGAUAGCUAUAAAUCCAAAUAUAAAUACUUCUGUAUAGCAAGAAAAAGCAAUUAAGGUAUGAAAAAUCAGGAACUACUAUGAAGAGUUUAAGCAGUAUUUUUUUAAGAAAGGCUCCCCUGUCACUGAGGGGCAAGAAGCUAUUUUGUUAACUUUGUAACAUAAAACUGAAAAAUUGUUAUGAGGAAUGAAAGGCAGCACAACAGCAAAACUGCUGCAGGUGUUUUUCAUAAACAAGUGGUUACUGAUUUCUUUAUAUCUUAUUCGAAAGGUGUUUUAAAAUAUUUCUUAUUUAGUUCUACCUGUAAAACUGGAUGUUGUCUUUCAGCAUGUCUGAACAGUUGUUGCACUAGACUACCCAUGUCCGCGUCGAGCAAAAACAGAAAUGGAAAGUGUUUUUCUUGCUCAUUUGAGAGCAGGUUUGCCCUCCAUCAGUGAGGCAGUCGACAAGUGGCACGGGUCCUGCAGACGUGGUGGAAGGCCUGGUCCUUUGGAUCAAUCAUUCUCAAUUUUUUCCAGUGAAAGCAUGUGACUCUUUGUGGUGAAUUUAGGACCACCAAAAACAGUUUUGCUCUCUUCAGCUGCCUUUCAUGGACCCCCGCAGAGCAGCUCCUGGACCAGAAAGGUCCACAGAGGAGAGCUGCAAAGCCGGAGGUGUUCGGAACGAUUCUGAAGAACGCGAUAGAAAAUUAUCUGCCUUUGAGGUGCCUCAUGUUUCUGUCAUGCCCAUAUGUGCAAACGCUGUUGAACUGACCCGAUAUGAGGCUGGAAGACAGAUGAGCUGAGCCGAGUGAACCGAAAGUUGACUCGCCGAGCUCCCGUGUCUCCUUCAGUGGUACUAAACAUUUUACAAGUAGCCGCAGCGAUGAUGCAUUAAAGCAUUGACGAAGGAGGAAAGGCACCCGGGCAAUGUGAGCGGACGCGUCCCAUGCAUGAAAAGCUCGCGGCCUUGCCAGGGCCGUCAUGAAUUCCAGCCGUGCUCCAUGCGUGCGCCGGCAUCGGGCUGCAGCGACAGCGCCCUGAUCCUUGCGGAGACGCUGAGGCUGUUCCAGGCACUAAUUAAUCUAACGAAUGUGGAGGCCGAGCUGGAGGCAGCCUGAACCAGGGCGAGCGGCCGCUGAGCCCCGUCCCCGCGUGCACGCGCGCGUGCAAGGCAGCUUGCACAGCACCGGUCUGCUCCCGCGCUGCUCUGCCGCCAGGCCAGCAUCCGAGCUUAGGAAAGCCCAGCCUGAGCCGCACCUCUGUGCCGUUGUCAUCGCUGCCACCAGUGACGCUUCCUUCAGUGAUGCCUCUAUCUUCCAGAAGCAUAAACGAUAUUUUACUACACUGCAAGAGAAAAAAGGCUCCCCAUCGACAUGCAGUGUUUUAUAGUUUUGUGAGCUUUCUUUUGUAUUUAGGAUUGUGUUUGUGGGAAGGGAAAAUUGUCCAUAUUUCUUCAAAAGGAGCCAAAAAUGAUCUGGGUGAUGGAUGAUUAAUAAACUGAAGGCCAGGCAACAAAUCUUGACACAGUUUUGGAGGAGCUCUUUCUAUUCUACCGUUCAUGACACCCCAGGGAGUCGUAAAACUCUGCGCUAACAUUGGUUGUCAUUGAAUGCUGGCAAAUAUCCAGAACUGAAAAUCAGAGUGAAUCACAAUUUGUGUCUUUGAAAGAAAGAAGAUCCUCAGUACAUCCAUCUGCUACUGCCCAUAAAUCCAAGUCCGCCUGAAGAAGUCCCGUAUUAAGCAGUCUCACCCUUUGGGUAACUCCUCUCCCUGAAAGAGCUCUCUGCUGUGGAAGUACUGUCAAAACAAAGACACGUUUUAGGUCCAUCAACCUUGACAAUGUCCUCUGACAUUAUUAGCUGAAUCCAUCAGCUAUUAAUGACUGCAAGAUAUAUAGGAUAUACUCCGGUUAGCACUUGGAAAGACUCUCAAUUCAUUUCUAGCUCUAUUUAUUCAUUUAGAUUAAAUGGAGUUAUUAAAGGUCACUACUUCAUUUCCAAAGUAUCAGGUGAAAAUACUUUUCAAUUUAACAGAUAGAGGAGACUGCCUGUAAUAAAAUUAAAUACCAUCUUAACAGUUUCUUUGAUUUUAAAAGGCAUUUACUAAAAGUUUGGCUUUCAUUAACUAAAUCCAGGCGGGGACCAGAGAAAUGGAUGGCGGUGCAUAGUGCUCAAAGGGGAGUUAUUCACUCCAAUAAUGAAUUUGGGGACUUUGGGUUUUCAGAGAACAGCAGCAAGAUUUCUUGUCCUUCUCGGCACUGAAUGACAUGGAAAACCUGGAAGGUAAUAACUACCACGUGUAGACAGGUUUUGUAAUAAAAGAGCCACUCUUUCAUUUUAUGAUCUGAGAUUUACCUGCAAAACACCAGUGACUGAGUCUUCACUGAAAAAUGUUUUCUCUGCCGUCCCUUAAGCCACGGCUGUGCUGGAAGCAUUUUACCUGUAGAUGAUAUUGUUAAAAUGCCUUUGAUGUGGACACAGCAGCACGAAGUAUCGAUACUGGUAUGGUAUAUCCCACAACUUGUUUUCCAGCAGGAAAUAUGAACUGACUUCUGCUGGAAGAUCAGGGUUCACGUUUUUCAUUUCUUGUGACUAAAUGUGCUGUCAGAAGCCUGCACAGGGAUCACUGUGGUUCUGUGAGCCGCCCAGCCGGCUCCGCGUCUCCUAGCCGGUGACUUAGACACGUAUCUCUAUUAAUUCAGGCGGCACAAAGUGGAAGACCCACUGCUUUGCCGUCUGCGAAAUCUGGAAACGCUCGGUGAAUGCUUUGGCUCAGUUUGUUCAAGGCACCUCCAAGCUCCCGCCGUGGGAAUAUGAGAGACCCUUAGUCUAAAGUUAAUCUAAAGCUAGGGCCCAGCAGCGGUGUCGUGCGAUGGCCCUCAGCCCGCCGGCCCGCAGCCCGUCGCAGCCCUCGCGGCACCGCGGAGCAUUGCCCGCUCCCUUCGGAAGCUGCCAAACAGAUGUUGCUACUUGUGCAAAACGCUGCUUUGAGAGUGACCAGAUGUGGUCAGGCAGGUUGUUCCCAGAUGUUCUGCGUGUUGCUUCGGAGUGGAAGAAAAAAGGUGCCGUUAGCAAAAACAGAUAUGCGGAAGACGAGCUGAAUGCCGAAGCGCCACACAGGCCCCUCGGUGAGAUGACACCUGGGAGUUCAGGGUUUUGUGCACUUCCAUUUUGUCAGAACUGCACGUUUAGUUCUGCAAACGCUGCGAUAAAGAAAUCAAACCAUAAUCGAUCAGAUCUCUCUUUAUUUCAUUAAUUCUUGCUACUCAUGAGGAAGCUUUAGCUCUGCAGGAGCCAUGAAUUAAUUUGUGAAGAUGGCUGAGGUCUUAGGACAUGUCUAGGCAUCAUAAACAUGAUGAUAGCAAAUGAGAAGUAUUUCCUCCGAGGUCCAGCUUAAAUAUGAUAAUGUUAUAAAUGUUGUAAGACACUGAAAAUUAGAAUUAAUGAAAAAUACUGGUAAGAGCUUGUUCUGCGGCUUAGAGCAGGACCAACACAACCACAGAAAUUUGAACUAUGUCAAAAUAUUUGCCUUAUGCUGUUUGUCUGCAAUGUGUAUAGCUGGACUGUGCAGAGGGAUCGCAAACCUCUUGCUUACUGUUCUGGCCGGCUCACAGAAACAUCCGGCGAGGCCGGGCCACGCUCUGCGCUUGCAGUGAGUCGCACCGUGGGGCAGGUCGCUGCGGGCAGCGGGACGCGGGAGGGACAAAGCAGCAGCAUCCUCUGGGUAAUCAGCACCUUUCGCAGCCCGGGGCCCUCCGCCUUCCAAAAUCUCUCCCCAGGGAGAGCGCCGGGGCUCCACGCGGCGACUUUCCUUGGCAGGGGCAACCUGGGGACUCCUUAAAAAAGGUGGCUAUAAACUAAAGAUAUUUUUGAAUUGCUGACUUUGUUUCUGAGGCUAAAACUAACUUGCCAAAGACAGAUUUUUUCGUCUAAUGCAAUCUGGCUAGGUGGAUGUUAUAAAUGCUUUGUAUUGCCUAUGGUACAGGUAUCCAAAUGCAUAGCAUUUUCUUUGGCCAAAGUUAGUAAAUAUUUAACAAAAGCCUUGAAAAAGCAUCCUGCUGUGGAUGUCUCACCAGCUGUUGACAAAAACAAACUCUCUGUUAGGAAAGGGUCACUUAAAAUCCAGUAGUAGUAAUAAAGGUCAUCAGGAAAUAAAAACAUAGGCUCCCUGCCAUAAGAAAAAAAGAGAGAAGUUGUGAAUAUGUGCAAUCUAUUUUAGUCAUUUUUAAUGAACAAAUUAAAACAAAGUUAUUAUUUUUGAAGUGGCGCAGCAGGCUUGCAAUGUGUAGUGAAAAACAAGGUGAGAAAAUAUGGGAUAAUCAGUUGUAACCUCAGAAAUAAAGGCAGGUUUUUUACUACACUAAAGAAGUUUAGACUGGAAAUGCUGUUUUGAGUUAUUUGCUUUCUCUGAGAGCUGGAGGAGUAAUUACUGCAAAUGCAGUCACGGCACUAAUCCAUCCGAUGCUCAGAGGCCAAGAUGUUUCAUCAGAUUAAGGGAUUAUAAGAUUUCUAGCAGAUUGGUUAAGGUCACGUCAAAGUUUUGGUGGUUAGAUUUCAGUUUAGUGGUUGCUAGAAGGAAACGAGUGGAGGAUUGCACUUCCAAAGCCGCCGAGCAUUUUGGCCCAUGUACUGCAGGAUUUAACAAUAUCAGCUUGAGAGCAUGUACUCUUUUCUGCAAAGCAAGUAGUUCUUUGGGGUUCUGCAAGUAGGGAGCCAUUUUGUACGUAUUGCAAACCUGGAAUUUCAUGUUAGAGAUGACAGCGGAGGCAGCAGAAGCAGCUCGCCCGCGGAGUGAGGGUAACGCACGGAGGAGUCGCUGCUGGACUCGGCUCCGGGCCGCAGCAAGCAGAGCGGUUUCCACCACCAAAAAUUCGACGUGCAACGCAGGAGCAGAUAAGCCUAAAUUCAGCAUGGAGCAAGAGACGGAGGAUCCUUAAGUCUCAAAGCAUCUGAUGUCCCUUUAUUUAGGGAUUACAUUAAUUCCUGCUUUCAGAUAUGACCAGGAACACGUAUAUUCACUAAUCAGAGUAAAUAGGUGCAUGAGAAACGUGUUGAGAAACACCCGUCUGUUUGGGGGAUGUGUGUGAUCACGGUGACCGUGCGAGUGCCCUUCCCCGGGAAUCGCCCGGCAUCCCGGGUUCCGGCACGCUGCUCGCCGAGGGACCGCUCCGCUCCGCGCGGGCUGGAAGGAGACGUCCUGCCAACAGCGGCGUCGGGACAUGCCGGUGUCAGCAGCGUAAGCGCCGUGCUCCGUGUGUCCCUGCUGAGCAGAGUGUUUGUAAGCAAAAGCUUUUUUUUGUUUGUUUAAAAAAUAUGCUUUGUGAAUGUUUAGGUGCCUGCAGGAACAAUAAAUGACCCUCUCCCGUGUGAGCAGCACCUCUGCCCUGCAGGGAGCCCGUCCGCGGCCACGC